rnacentral:tRNA from 2 species
GGGGAUAUAGCUCAGUAGUAGAGCACUUGCCUAUCAUGUGUGAGGCCCAGGGUUCAAAUCUCCAGUAUUGCCA